AAAAGAAAAAAGAAAAAAAAGCCCCCUGGUUUGCUUCAGCCAAUACCAUCAGUAAUCAGCGUGACCUCUACGUUCCUCCUCCUCCUCCUCCUGCUCUUUAAUUUAAAGCAGCAUCUUUGCGUCUGGAACUCGUGAUGGUUCUCCAAUGAUACACAGUCACGCGGAGAAUUCGAUACUUCCCGUGAUGCUUUGCACGCGCGACCUUGAAGAUUCUGCGGAUGCGGUGCGACGCUAUUUCCACAUUUCCACAAACCCUGGUGCUAUUGGCUUGUGGUUGCUAUGCUAGCACAGACCGCUACCUGAGCACCAGAGCUCUUGAGAGAGAGAGAGAGAGAGAGAGAGAGCGCUAAAUAGCCAUUUUUUAAAUUGUGUGUGUGUGUGUGUGUGUGUGUGUGUGUGUGUGUGGGUGGGGUGGGGGGGGGGGGGGGGUGCUGGUGUAAUGUCGGAUCGUGUAGCCUCUGAAUAUUUCCCGGAAGUUUGCACUGAAUACUAACAGCGCAGUAGAGAUGCAGCAGAACAGACUGUUUGUGAUGCACUUUUAAAAGGUCCAGGAGUGCAUCAUGGUGCCGGGAGGCUCCUCUUUUUGACCACAGGACGAUGCACAAGGGUGGUGUAAAUAACAUCUGUUCUCAGCCUAGUCUUGGCCUUUUUGGUCCUGACAAACUGGUCUGCCUCAAAAUGUGCCUUCAGAGUGACUUGACUUUACUUCCCACACACAACUCCAUUUUGUCUACCCACAUACUAUACAUGCCCCAUACUGAUUAAAUGCACAGUAUUAAGGAACGCUUUCUACAUAGUUAAAACACAACUAAGAACACGAGACAAAGGCCUGAAGACUCACCAUGAGUCUCAGCUCCCUGGGUUUUGCAAGUCUUUUGCUGUUCCUUAUUUUUAAUAAACCUAACAUUAAACUUUCCCAUGGUGUGGUCUUUGUGAGAAAUUGAAAGUAUAUUUAAGUAGGAUUACCUCACAAUUGUUUUGGUGUUGUAAUAUUUUGUUAUGUUUAGAUUGCUCCUGCUCAUUUGAGCCAACCGUUUUUUCCUCCUCUCUGUGUCAGAGGGGAAACCAUGCAUUCAUAUUCCUUUCUCUGAGCGACUGAAGCAUCCCCAUGCAGCACAGCAAACCAUGGUGGACAUUAUACAAGGGCAACAUGGAGGCUACUAAUUACAAAAAAUCGCAGUUGUCUCUAACUCUAUGGAUUCAAAUAGCCCACAAAUAAUUUCCAGGAACUAUCGGAAGUCUACAUGAAUCACGUGACGAACUUCUGUUGGCGCAGCUCUCUCUUUCAAGGGCUCUGCUGUUUCCACACCGUUUCCACAUUCAGUCGUACCCAUUACGUAGCUAAUUUAUGCUAAGCAUAUUCAGAAUAUGAACCAGCCUACAGUGCCCUCCACUAAUAUUGGCAACUUUGGUAAAUAUGAGCAAAGAAGGCUGUGAAGAAUUGUCUUUAUUGUUUUAACUUUUGAUCUUUUGUUAAAUUCACAAAAAUGCUCUGCUCUCUUGGAUAUCAAACAAUUGCAAACAAAACACAGGUUUAUCAAAAAAAAGAGUCUUUGUUAAUUAUAGGUGUGCAACAAUUAUUGGCACCCUUUUAGUCAAUACAUUGUGCUACCUCCCUUUGCCAAAACAAAGGUUUUAUAUGGGGUUCAAUUCAGAGGACUGGGAUGGCCAUGGCAAAACCUUGAUGUUGUGGUCAAUAAACCAUUUUUGUGUUGAUUUUGAUGUAUGUUUUGGAUCAUUGUCCUGCUGGAAGAUCCAACCACGGCCCAUUUUAAGUUUUCUGGCAGAGGCACUCAGGUACUUUCAGUGUAAAUUUCCAUUUCCAUUUAUUCAUUUAGCAGAUGGUCUUAUCCAGAACAACUUACCAAAUGUGUACAGUAGAUGGC
ensembl:lncRNA